ensembl:lncRNA
CAAGAUGGUAACUAUUUCUUUGGAAGCAGAAAUGGGGGAAAACUUGAUUGUUGAUUCUUGUCUUCCAGAGCUGGAAUCUCCUUGGUUAUUGGCCUAUGUGCCUAUAAGAAGCUGCCACAGAGUGCUGCAGGACAAAUAUGGGGAGUUUUCUCCUCCAACAUUCCAUGCUGAUUUCCCUGUAAGCUUUUGGUGCAACUGGACCAUCUGGGCAGGCUCCAGGAAGUACAUCAUCAUUUAUAUCCGGGGAUUUGUUGCUAGGGAGGCGUGCAACAGAAAUGAGGACAAAAUUCUGUUUGAAGGAGUCUCUUCCCUGGUGGAAAACAGUGUUGUUUAUGCCUGCUGGAAAAAGGAGAUGCAUGUUUUUGCCACCUUUGCUCAGGCUGUCCAUGUUGUGCUGCUGAAGAGGUACUUGCCAAACCGGAGAGAUGCACAAUUUAAAGGGAAGUACUACAUCUUCCAAGAACAGCAAGAUGAUGAAAUUUCUGGAACUUCUGUUUCAAAACUGUCAAAGAAAGGUGGUAUUUUUCAGUCUGGCUGGGUAGAAGACUUUAGAGAUCCACUGGGCUUUGCAACCACACAUGGCAGCACCACCAUGAGAAGCAGUGAGCUGAGGCAGGGAAGGGGGAUCACUCUGGACACCAUGGCUGUGGGAAGUCCUACAGAACUUACCCUAGGUGAACAUGCAAGGACACAGGCUCUGGAAACAAAAGCUCUUUGUGGGCUGGGGGCUCAGGAAGUUCAAGGUAUUGGAGCACCUGAGGGAAUAAUCCCCACUGCAGCACGGGACAUCUUGGGGCAGAAUUCCUCCGUGGGUGAGGACAGCACUGUGAGCUUUGGUCCUGUGCACAGCAUGCUUUUGGAAACUCCUUUGCUUGGUGCCUUCCAGGGAGCAGAACCUUUUUGGCAGCCAGCAGAUGUGAGUCUGGAGAGCAGCCAGCCUGUCCUGAACCCUACCCUGAGGCCAAAAGGUCUGGGCCACCUGCAGUUUACAAUUAAACCAACAGGCACAGGUCACCUGGACUUGGCUGCACGCUCUGAGCCUCUGUCCCCAGGCACAGGACAAAGCCAGGAGGGCACAGGUCCCACCAGGGACAGCCAGCUCAGCACAGCCAGCCUGCAGAAGGAUGGAAGCAGUGCCCAGCUGAGUGUCCCAGCUGAUGGCCUCGCUGAGGGCCUGAUGCCCAGCCUGAGGAGCCCCAGUGAUGUGGUCACCAGGGACCACUUACAGCUGCUACCUGAGAGAAGUCAAAACAGUCUGGGGCAUCUGUGCAUGCCUAAACCUCAGCCAGGCACAACUGGCCUCCAACACACAAAGCUGGUAGAUGUUUUCCCACUGGGAUGUUCUAGGGGAGCUGUCAGGAGAACAGUGCUGCAUCCCACAGUGCCAGGGCUCGCUGUACCUGCUUUAGCAACAGGGCUGGAGCAUCCUCUCACACCUGUGCCUGCCCUGGGGACAGAAACAAUCCCUGUGCUGGUGACCUCCUCUGCAGCACCUGUCCCUGCAGAUUUUGGCUCUCUGGAUUUAAUCCCUGAAGCGCCUCUUCCUCCACAAGUGGAGUCUGUGUCCAUGGUGGCCUCUUUCCCAGCUGCUCUGGAUCAGGAUCCUGUCAGUCUCAGGCAAAGGGACACCUCCCCAGCUAGCCCAGGAGGACAGGACAUGAUCUUCCCUUCACCACCCUGCUAUCCAUCAGUAGCCUCUGAACUGGGCACUGAUGGGUCCUCCAGAUGCCUUGGCUCUAGGAUGCAAAAGUUGGUGCCUGGUGGACAGGCAGGUGGCCAGGGAGGCAAAACCACAGCCUCUGUGGGCUUGAUGGCCAGGAGUCCCUCCCCAGUCUUUGUCACUGUCCCAGGGCCUGGUGUGAGGCUUACUCAGCCUGAGGGCCAUGUCAGCAGUGGCUCUGGGGGGACACCAGCUUCCCUGGCUGGCACCAGAGAGGAGCACGAGGUGCCUGUGCAGCAUCAGCACAGUGCUGCUAGUGACAAACCAGCUUCUGCCUCCAACUUCAGGGGAUUUAAAAUACAGGGAACCACAGAAACUGUGCCAGUGGGUUCAGGACAGAGGACAACUGCCUCCUUCAGCAUCACUCCUGCACAUGCUGAUCUGCCUGCAGCUCCGUGGGGAGAAACACUGCCAGGAGACCAACAGCCUUGGGAGCCCUCUGGUGUACCCAGGAACACCCAGGUGCCAGAAGGACAGCCAGAGAAACAUGCUGGUCUGAUGUCAUCUGUGGAGAACAACACAGGAUUGCAUUCCCAGCACCAUCCUGGAGAUGUGCUGUUUGAAGUCACUGUUGAAAUCAAACCCAAGGACUGGAUUCCUCAUGGUGGAAGUGAGCUCCAAAAGGGUCUCCUUGAAUCUCUGAAGAAUCACAUCCAGAAGAACCUGAAGCUUUCUGCCAAUAGAGUCAGUGAAAUAAAGUUAAAGGAUGUCAAAAGGACGAGUGAUGCCAACCUGCUGCUCACCUUCUGGCUGCACCUGGAGCCGGAGGAAAGGAACGUGUCUCUGCUCCUGCGCUCCCAGCUGCAGCAGCUGCUUGGCACCUCGGUGGGUGCGGAGAAGCUGCAGCUUGUUUCACUGUUUGUUGAAGAUGUGAACGAGUGCCAGGCUGGGGUUGGUCUCUGUGGGGAGGAGGCAGAGUGCCUCAAUGGCGUGGGCACCUACCUGUGUCGCUGCAAGAAGGGCUAUGAGGAUCAUUCCCCCACCAAAUCCGGC